rnacentral:rRNA from 1 species
GAUGAACGCUGGCGGCGUGCCUAAUACAUGCAAGUCGAGCGAACAGACGAGGAGCUUGCUCCUCUGACGUUAGCGGAGGACGGGUGAGUAACACGUGGAUAAUCUACCUGUAAUACUGGUAUAACUUCGAGAAACCGGAGCUAAUACCGUAUAAUAUAUUGAACCGCAUGGUUCAAUGGUGAAAGACGGUUUUGCUGUCACUUAUAGAUGGAUCCGCGCCGCAUUAGCUAGUUGGUAAGGUAACGGGUUACCAAGGCAACGAUGCGUAGACGACCUGAGAGAGUGAUAGGCCACCUUGGAACUGAGACACGGUCAAGACUCCUACGGGAGGCAGCAGUAGCGAAUCUUCCGCAAUGGGCGAAAGCAUGACGCAGCAACGCCGCGCGAGUGAUGACGGCCUUCGGUUCGUAAAACUCUGUUACUAGGGAAGAACCAAUGUGUAAGUAAACAUGCCCGUCUUGACGGUAACUAAUCAGAAAGCAACGGCUAACUACGUG